CGGUUAGGGUAUUGCCAUUGGGUUCCGACAUGUCCGUUUCGUGACGAUACAAAUUCCUCAGACGCGAUUCACGCAACUUGUACAGAUGCGAUCGGAUUUGCUGCUUGCGUUCGGAAUCCUCCGAUUGCUGCCACUGCAAAUCUAAUCACAGUGGCUCCUCCAAGCAAGAAAAAAAAUGACAGAAGCACGCAGCAGGCAGGUAAAAAGAUAUUUCGGAUUUUAUUUCGAUGUUGAUUUCGUUAUUUUUAUUUAUUUUUUUUUUUUAUAUGGUUUGUUGUUACACCGGCAAACACACAAGAGAGAGAGUGAGAGAGAGAGAAAUAAAACACUUGGUUAGGUGUGACUAAUCCUGUCGCCGAUUUCUUCUUCUUCUUCUGCUUCUUCUUCUUUUCGGCUGCUGGGCUCGGCUUAAGCUGCUCUUUGUAUGUGUGUGUUUGUACGGAGUUAAUAAAUCAAAUGUCGCUUGCGAGAGUUGCCAAAAAAAAAUAAAUAAAUACGAGAAAAAAAAUUUGCGCUGCUGUGCUGUGUGUUUGCUGUUGUUGGGAGUUGUAUUCGUUUUGUAUUUUUGUCAAGCGAUUGUUGAACUUGUUGUUUUUAUUUUGUUAUUUUUUGUUUUACACCGAGCGUCGAGCACGUUGCAAUCGAUCGAGCACCAAAAUCAG